AAGUCAAGAGUACGUGAAACCGUUCGGGGGUAAACCUGAGAAACCCGAAAGAUCGAAAGCCGAGAUACAGCGUCCGUCGCCGCGGGAGCAGCGACGACGGCGUGCACUUCUCGGCCGGUAGGACGUCGCGACCCGUUGGGAGUCGCCGACGCGCAAUGGGGUCGCGCGGGAAGCUCGAGGGGCGCGGCGGGACUCGUUCCCGUCGUAUUUGCUAGCUCCUCGAACCCGUCGCGUCCUCGCCAGGCGUUCGGCRCGCCCGACGCGACAUUCAAAGACAGAACGAGGCGUUCGUUCGGCGGUGCGCUUUGGCGACGCGCCCGGCUUCGUCGCGGCAUUCGCGUGCCGCGGCGAGAGUUCUCGGGCGUGCGCACGCGUUCGCGCGCGUGCGCACACCGACGUCCGAUCGUCAGCGACGCUUUUGCUUUGGGCGUUUUCAGGACCCGUCUUGAAACACGGACCAAGGAGUCCAACGUGCGCGCGAGUCAAUGGGAGCAUACUACGAAACCCAAAGGCGAAGCGAAAGCGAAGGGCUUUUCCGGUGGGGCGGCGGGCGACCGUCGUCUCAUCCGGUUAGCCGUUGGGAGGAUGGGCCGUGCCGAGUCGCGACCCCGCACUCCCGGGGCGUCUCCGUCAGGCACCGUUCGUCGGCGUUCGCGCGUCGUCGUUCGGUGCCGGAGGCGCACCUCUAGCGCGCACGCUGGGACUCGAAGAUGG
rnacentral:rRNA from 1 species